UACGGAGGAUCCAAGCGUUAUCCGGAUUUAUUGGGUUUAAAGGGUGCGCAGGCGGAAUAAUAAGUCAGUGGUGAAAUCCUACGGCUCAACUGUAGAACUGCCAUUGAUACUGUUAUUCUUGAGUUUAGUUGAAGUGGGCGGAAUGUGUCAUGUAGCGGUGAAAUGCUUAGAUAUGACACAGAACACCGAUCGCGAAGGCAGCUCACUAAGCUAAAACUGACGCUCAUGCACGAAAGCGUGGGGAUCAAACAGGAUUAGAUACCCUGGUAGUCCACGCUGUAAACGAUGAUUACUCGAUGUUGGCGAUACACAGUCAGCGUCUGAACGAAAGUAUUAAGUAAUCCACCUGGGGAGUACGGUCGCAAGACUGAA
rnacentral:rRNA from 1 species